GAAGACCUCGCUAUGCGCCUGCAGAGUACCAAGAAGAGAGUGGCGGAGCUGGAACGCACCUUAUCGGGCAUCUCCCUGCACCAGAAGCAGGCGGAGAAGCUCAACAAAGAACUGGAGAAGGAACGCGACAAUCUUCGCCUCGAGUCUUUGAAAAACAG